GAUGAACGCUAGCGGCAGGCUUAAUACAUGCAAGUCGAGGGACAGCACAGGUAGCAAUACUGGGUGGUAACCGGCAAACGGGUGCGGAACGCGUACACAACCUUCCUUUAAGUGGGGGAUAGCCCAGAGAAAUUUGGAUUAAUACCCCGUAAUAUAGUUGAAUGGCAUCAUUUGAUUAUUAUAGCUACGGCGCUUAAUGAUGGGUGUGCGGCUGAUUAGAUAGUUGGCGGGGUAACGGCCCACCAAGUCUACGAUCAGUAGCUGAUGUGAGAGCAUGAUCAGCCACACGGGCACUGAGACACGGGCCCGACUCCUACGGGAGGCAACAGUAAGGAAUAUUGGUCAAUGGACGCAAGUCUGAACCAGCCAUGCCGCGUGAAGGAUUAAGGUCCUCUGGAUUGUAAACUUCUUUUAUUUGGGACGAAAAAGGGCCUUUCUAGGUCAACUGACGGUACCAGAUGAAUAAGCACCGGCUAACUCCGUGCCAGCCGCCGCGGUAAUAC
rnacentral:rRNA from 1 species